CCGACCUUAGCUCAGUUGGAAGAGCGCGAGACUGUAAUGGAUAAAAAAGUUCAUCUUGAGGUCGCCUGUUCGAGCCAGGCAGGUCGGA